GAUAAACGCUGGCGGCGUGCAUAACACAUGCAAGUCGAACGAUGAAGAUUAAAAGAUUUCUUCGGAAUGAACUUAAUUGGAUUAGUGGCGGACGGGUGAGUAACGCGUGAGUAACCUGCCUUGUACAAGGGGAUAGCCGUUGGAAACGACGAAUAAUACCCUAUGACAUCAAAUAAUCGCAUGAUAAUUUGAUCAAAGAUUUAUCGGUAUAAGAUGGACUCGCGUCUGAUUAGCUAGUUGGUAGAGUAAAAGCCUACCAAGGCAACGAUCAGUAGCCGGCUUGAGAGAGUGUACGGCCACAUUGGGACUGAGACACGGCCCAGACUCCUACGGGAGGCAGCAGUGGGGAAUUUUGCACAAUGGGGGAAACCCUGAUGCAGCGACGCCGCGUGAUUUAGAAGGCCUUCGGGUUGUAAAAAUCUUUUGUAUGGGAAGAAAAUGACAGUACCAUACGAAUAAGAACCGGCUAAUUACGUG
rnacentral:rRNA from 1 species